UCCCUCUUAGCUCAGUGGUAGAGCGCGCCACUCGUAAUAUCUUUACAUGGCGAGGUCAGUCGUUCAAUCCGGCUAGCGGGAA